rnacentral:rRNA from 1 species
AACGAACGCUGGCGGCAUGCCUAACACAUGCAAGUCGAACGACACCUUCGGGUCUAGUGGCGCACGGGUGCGUAACGCGUGGGAACCUGCCCUUAGGUUCGGAAUAACUCCCCGAAAGGGGUGCUAAUACCGGAUAAUUUCUUCGGACCAAAGAUUUAUCGACUUUGGAUGGGCCCGCGUUGGAUUAGCUAGUUGGUAGGGUAAAAGCCUACCAAGGCGACGAUCCAUAGCUGGUCUGAGAGGAUGAUCAGCCACACUGGGACUGAGACACGGCCCAGAAUACUACGGGAGGCAGCAGUGGGGAAUAUUGGAAAAUGGGCGAAAGCAUGAUCCAGCAAUGCCGCGUGAGUGAUGAAGGCCUUAGGGUUGUAAAGCUGUUUUACCCGGGAUGAUAAUGACAGUACCGGGAGAAUAAGCACCGGCUAACUCCGUG